UCCUACGGGAGGCAGCAGUGAGGAAUAUUGGUCAAUGGGCGAGAGCCUGAACCAGCCAAGUCGCGUGAGGGAAGACGGUCCUACGGAUUGUAAACCUCUUUUGUCGGGGAGUAAUAGGCGGGACGUGUCCUGCUGUGAGAGUACCCGAAGAAAAAGCAUCGGCUAACUCCGUGCCAGCAGCCGCGGUAAUACGGAGGAUG
rnacentral:rRNA from 1 species